rnacentral:rRNA from 3 species
UGGGGAAUAUUGCACAAUGGGGGAAACCCUGAUGCAGCGACGCCGCGUGAACGAAGAAGGUAUUCGUAUCGUAAAGUUCUGUCCUAUGGGAAGAUAAUGACAGUACCAUAGAAGAAAGCUCCGGCUAAAUACGUGCCAGCAGCCGCGGUAAUACGUAUGGAGCGAGCGUUGUCCGGAAUUAUUGGGCGUAAAGGGUACGCAGGCGGUUUAAUAAGUCGAAUGUUAAAGAUCGGGGCUCAACCCCGUAAAGCAUUGGAAACUGAUAAACUUGAGUAGUGGAGAGGAAAGUGGAAUUCCUAGUGUAGUGGUGAAAUACGUAGAUAUUAGGAGGAAUACCAGUAGCGAAGGCGACUUUCUGGACACAAACUGACGCUGAGGUACGAAAGCGGGGGGAGCAAACAGG